UGCGGCUUUGUCAAAUUCAGUGAGUUCUUUUCAGUGGACUUCACUGGCCAAAAUAGCUGCUACAGAGACUGUAGUCCAUGGGCCCCACCUUUUUACACUGUAGGAAGUGGGGAUAAAUAUGUACUACAUACACUC